CACGUAGGCGGAUUGCUAAGUCAGGGGUGAAAUCCCGGGGCUCAACCUCGGAACUGCCUUUGAUACUGACAGUCUUGAGUCCGGAAGAGGUGAGUGGAAUUCCUAGUGUAGAGGUGAAAUUCGUAGAUAUUAGGAAGAACACCAGUGGCGAAGGCGGCUCACUGGUCCGGUACUGACGCUGAGGUGCGAAAGCGUGGGGAGCAAACA
rnacentral:rRNA from 1 species